rnacentral:rRNA from 1 species
UGAGGAAUAUUGGUCAAUGGAGGCAACUCUGAACCAGCCAUGCCGCGUGAAGGAUGAAGGUCCUCUGGAUUGUAAACUUCUUUUAUAGAAGAAGAAACCCCAGUAUUCUUACUGGGUUGACGGUACUCUAUGAAUAAGCACCGGCUAACUCCGUGCCAGCAGCCGCGGUAAUACGGAGGGUGCAAGCGUUAUCCGGAUUCACUGGGUUUAAAGGGAGCGUAGGUGGGUCGGUAAGUCAGUGGUGAAAUCCCCGAGCUUAACUUGGGAACUGCCAUUGAUACUAUCGAUCUUGAAUUCUGUGGAGGUAAGCGGAAUAUAUCAUGUAGCGGUGAAAUGCUUAGAUAUGAUAUAGAACACCGAUAGCGAAGGCAGCUUACUACGCAGACAUUGACACUGAGGC